rnacentral:rRNA from 1 species
UACGAAGGGGGCUAGCGUUGUUCGGAAUUACUGGGCGUAAAGCGCGCGCAGGCGGCUAUCCAAGUCAGUGGUGAAAGCCCGGAGCUCAACUCCGGAACUGCCAUUGAAACUGUUUAGCUUGAGUAUGAGAGAGGUGAGUGGAAUUCCCAGUGUAGAGGUGAAAUUCGUAGAUAUUGGGAAGAACACCGGUGGCGAAGGCGGCUCACUGGCUCGAUUACUGACGCUCAGGCGCGACAGCGUGGGGAUCAAACAGG